CUGUUCCUUCAAGGGGGCAUCUAAACACCACAGCCACGUGGUCCCUGGGGAUGGACAGACAGACACACACGGCCACGCAGUCCUUGGGGAUGGACAGACACAUGCCAACAGGCAUGCACCCCCUGGGGGACAAACAGACAGAAAGAUGCAUGCGAUCCCUGGGGGGACGGGUGGACAGACAGAAGCACACAGCCAUGUGGUCCCUGGGGAUGGACAGACAGAAGCAUGCGGCCUUGUGGACUGUGGGGGAUGGACAGACAGACGUACACAGCCAUGCAGUCCCUGGGGCAGAUGGACAGACAGACACACACAUAGAGUCACGCAGUCCGUGGGGAUGGACAGACAGACGCACACAACCCUGGAGCCUGUGAGGGGCGAUGUCCUGGGGGAGGGGCGCAGUCACCCCAUUGUUCUGCUGAAUGUGAGAGACGUGAGUCCCCGUUUUAUAAAUGUACAAAUGGCUCCGUAAUAAAGAGGCACAAAUAGAC